UACGUAGGGUGCAAGCGUUAAUCGGAAUUACUGGGCGUAAAGCGUGCGCAGGCGGUUUUGUAAGUCUGUCGUGAAAUCCCCGGGCUCAACCUGGGAAUUGCGAUGGAGACUGCAAGGCUAGAAUCUGGCAGAGGGGGUAGAAUUCCACGUGUAGCAGUGAAAUGCGUAGAGAUGUGGAGGAACACCGAUGGCGAAGGCAGCCCCUGGGUCAAGAUUGACGCUCAUGCACGAAAGCGUGGGGAGCCAAACAGG
rnacentral:rRNA from 1 species